rfam:Blautia sp. CAG:37, WGS project CBJJ01000000 data, contig: 283
ACUGUGGAGUGUACCAGAACUUGUGAGUAGAUACAGCUCCGGCUGGUCAAAAGCAUACACGUUUGAAACAGUAA